CUCAGCUACCAGCAAAAGAAUGUCCAAUCUGCAAAUUUUGCAUCCCUGGACUUAACCGUCAACCAUCAACCAUCAACCUCUGGAGCAAGCAACCAGCAACAGAAUGUCCCAUCUUCCCUAACUGACUUAACACCGUCAACCUCUGGAACAAGGGGGACUCAAUUCCACCUAUUCUUCCAAGAAAAAUUACCAAGCCUACUGGACCUGGAUCUACUCUGCAACCAACAAACCCCUCAA